AGAGACUCGGUAAAAGUGAAACCAGGGGAGAAGAAAUCGGCCAGCAGACACGACUCUGAAGAGAAGAAAGGAGGUGAAAAAUUGUGGAAAAGACCCUUCAGGUCCGCAUCGGCCUCCUCGCUCAGCACCACCAAAUACAAGGAAGCCGUCAAGGGAUGGUUUGAUUUCAGGCUGAAACGUGGGAACUCGGUCAGUGGUGGGUCCGUGGAUCAGUACUGCCGCUUGUCUUCCUGUGUGGCCACCUGCCUCCCCUCCCGUGUGGCCGAUGAACAAGUAAGCUCGCGUCUUCUGACACCUGUCAAUCAGCCCCUGCUUGUGCUCACCUGGU